rnacentral:rRNA from 1 species
AAGCGGUGGAGCAUGUGGUUUAAUUCGAUGCAACGCGAAGAACCUUACCUGGGCUUGGAAAUUGCCCGGACAGCCGUGGAACACGGUUUCCUUCGGGCCGGGUGACAGGUGCUGCAUGGCUGUCGUCAGCUCGUGCCGUGAGGUGUUAGGUUAAGUCCUGCAACGAGCGCAACCCCUGUUUCCAGUUGCCAUCAAGUAAAGUUGGGGACUCUGGAGAGACUGCCUGCGCAAGCAGAGAGGAAGUGGGGAUGACGUCAAGUCAGCACGGCCCUUACGUCCAGGGCUACACACGUGCUACAAUGGCCGGUACAGAGGGCAGCGACCUGGUGACAGGUAGCGAAUCUCCAAAGCCGGUCUCAGUUCGGAUCGGAGUCUGCAACUCGACUCCGUGAAGCUGGAUUCGCUAGUAAUCGGAUAUCAGCAAUGAUCCGGUGAAUACGUUCCCGGGCCUU